rnacentral:rRNA from 1 species
ACGCUGGCGGCGUGCUUAACACAUGCAAGUCGAACGAUGAAGCCUAGCUUGCUAGGUGGAUUAGUGGCGAACGGGUGAGUAAUACGUGAGUAACCUACCUUUAACUCUGGGAUAAGCCUGGGAAACUGGGUCUAAUACCGGAUACGACCAAUCUCCGCAUGGGGUGUUGGUGGAAAGCGUUAUGUAGUGGUUAUAGAUGGGCUCACGGCCUAUCAGCUUGUUGGUGAGGUAACGGCUCACCAAGGCGACGACGGGUAGCCGGCCUGAGAGGGUGACCGGCCACACUGGGACUGAGACACGGCCCAGACUCCUACGGGAGGCAGCAGUGGGGAAUAUUGCACAAUGGGCGCAAGCCUGAUGCAGCGACGCCGCGUGAGGGAUGACGGCCUUCGGGUUGUAAACCUCUGUUAGCAGGGAAGAAGAGAGAUUGACGGUACCUGCAGAGAAAGCGCCGGCUAACUACGUGCCAGCAGCCGCGGUAAUACGUAGGGCGCGAGCGUUGUCCGGAAUUAUUGGGCGUAAAGAGCUCGUAGGCGGUUUGUCGCGUCUGCUGUGAAAGGCCGGAGCUUAACUCCGUGUAUUGCAGUGGGUACGGGCAGACUAGAGUGCAGUAGGGGAGACUGGAAUUCCUGGUGUAGCGGUGGAAUGCGCAGAUAUCAGGAGGAACACCGAUGGCGAAGGCAGGUCUCUGGGCUGUAACUGACGCUGAGAAGCGAAAGCAUGGGGAGCGAACAGGAUUAGAUACCCUGGUAGUCCAUGCCGUAAACGUUGGGCACUAGGUGUGGGGGACAUUCCACGUUUUCCGCGCCGUAGCUAACGCAUUAAGUGCCCCGCCUGGGGAGUACGGCCGCAAGGCUAAAACUCAAAGAAAUUGACGGGGGCCCGCACAAGCGGCGGAGCAUGCGGAUUA